CCUACGGGAGGCAGCAGUGGGGAAUAUUGCACAAUGGGGGAAACCCUGAUGCAGCGACGCCGCGUGAGCGAUGAAGUAUCUCGGUAUGUAAAGCUCUAUCAGCAGGGAAGAAAAUGACGGUACCUGACUAAGAAGCCCCGGCUAACUACGUGCCAGCAGCCGCGGUAAUACGGAGGGGGCAAGCGUUAUCCGGAUUUACUGGGUGUAAAGGGAGCGUAGACGGCGGUGCAAGCCAGAUGUGAAAGCCUGGGGCUCAACCCCGGGACUGCAUUUGGAACUGUGCUGCUAGAGUGUCGGAGAGGCAGGCGGAAUUCCUGGUGUAGCGGUGAAAUGCGUAGAUAUUAGGAAGAACACCGGUGGCGAAGGCGGCCUGCUGGACGAUGACUGACGUUGAGGCUCGAAAGCGUGGGGAGCAAACAGGAUUAGAUACCCUUGUAGUC
rnacentral:rRNA from 1 species